rnacentral:rRNA from 1 species
AGAGCGAACGCUGGCGGCAGGCUUAACACAUGCAAGUCGAGCGCCCGUAGCAAUACGGGAGCGGCAGACGGGUGAGUAACACGUGGGAACGUACCCUUUGGUUCGGAACAACUCCGGGAAACUGGAGCUAAUACCGGAUAAGCCCUUAACGGGGGAAAGAUUUAUCGCCAAAGGAUCGGCCCGCGUCUGAUUAGCUAGUUGGUGAGGUAACGGCUCACCAAGGCGACGAUCAGUAGCUGGUCUGAGAGGAUGAUCAGCCACAUUGGGACUGAGACACGGCCCAAACUCCUACGGGAGGCAGCAGUGGGGAAUAUUGGACAAUGGGCGCAAGCCUGAUCCAGCCAUGCCGCGUGAGUGAUAGGAACGGCCCGUAGGGUUGUAAAGCUUCUUUCGGACGGGGAAGAUAAGUGACGGUACCGUAGAAGAACGCCCCGGACUAACGUUCGUCG